CUGAGCUAUGCGUGCUGCGUCAUUUCCGGUUCCACUUCCUGGUCUGAAUUGUUUGUGUCUGGACUCCGGCGGCUGCUCGCGUCUCCUCCGCAGACUGAACUUUACCGUCCUGCUGAUCCUCUGAGAAGAGACACCAGUGUGACCGGAGGGGAAGGACGACGGUGUUUCCAUUGUUCUUGAUACUGGAGAGAAAAUCCUCAGAAGAUGGACGGAGCUGAUGCUGCUUCAACCACAAUUGUCUACGACUCAAGYGAGAGACACUUGACACAAGGCUGAGAAGUGGAGUGGACGCUGCAGAGAAACAAGAGGUCACAGUGGAGUACGACUUGGAGGUACUUACAACAUGUCCUUGAAGCUGCACCAGAGUCAUCACCCAGCUUUAGUGAGUACAUGAACAUAAUGUGGAGUUAAUAUACAGUGAAAAUAAUAAAGUAAAGGUUUUGUCUGUUUAUGUGAUGUAGGCAGAGUGGGGAUCAUGUGACUUUGUGUGAUGACGAACCCCAUGCCUAUUUGUAACAUGAGAAUAAGAGCAUAUGAAACA